CAGCCGCCACGGUAAUACGUGGGGGUGCAAGCGUUAUUCGGAUUGAUUGGGUGUAAAGGGUGUGCAGACGGCUUAUUAAGUCACUUGUUAAAUUCUUCGGCCUAACUGAAGGUCUGCAAGUGAUACUGAUGAGCUAGAGGGUGGAAGAGAGAAGUGGAAUUCUCGGAGUAGCGGUAAAAUGCGUAGAUCUCGAGAGGAACACCAAUGGCGAAGGCAGCUUCUUGGUCCAUUCCUGACGUUCAAACACGAAAGCGUGGGGAGCAAACAGGAUUAGAUACCCCAGUAGUCCCUGUCUCUUAUA
rnacentral:rRNA from 1 species